rnacentral:rRNA from 1 species
UACGUAGGGUGCAAGCGUUAAUCGGAAUUACUGGGAGUAAAGCGUGCGCAGGCGGUUUGCUAAGACAGGUGUGAAAUCCCCGGGCUUAACCUGGGAACUGCGCUUGUAACUGGCAAGCUGGAGUGUGGCAGAGGGGGGUGGAAUUCCACGUGUAGCAGUGAAAUGCGUAGAGAUGUGGAGGAACACCGAUGGCGAAGGCAGCCCCCUGGGCUAACACUGACGCUCCUGCACGAAAGCGUGGGGAGCAUACAGG